UGGGGUCCUUUGAGAGAAAAUAAAGGGGGGGAGAUGGAGGUUAAUCCACAAAGGAUCAGGCAAAGCUGCCUGCAUCACAACCUCUGUUUUCAGGCAGAGGUGGCAUCUGCAAUACAUACUCCUUUUGCACAGGAUGUGCCCUCAGCUAUUCACUGCAGUAGGAAGAGGACUCAGAAACAAGCCAUGAUGAACAUUAUACCCAAAGAAUACAAUAUAGAAGAUGUGCCUCUCCUGUUGGCAGAGCCCGAGGAAUUUCAGGCUUGAAAACAAGUGGCCACAAGCUUCCCUGACCAUGCAGCAAGGCUCUGGAUACUCAUCCCCUCCACCCAAGGGCUUCAUGAAGCCACAGACCCAGAGAAGGACAAAAAGCAGCAUCCAGCCCUGACAGCGAGCUGAGCCCCCCCAUCCUCCCACAAAAAGCAGACAGCAGUGCACAAAAAGACUGGAAAAAGUCGCAGGAAGCUUACCCUUCCACAGCACCGACAGCUCCCCACAGAGUCAGCUGGCACAGAUUUCCUCCUGCUGCUGCCCUGCUGGGAUAUAAGGUCUGGUUUUGCCCCCCCCAAGCCAAGUCACCGCCCUGCCCGGAGUGACGCAGCCCACCGCCGUGCACCAGAAAACCCCAAAAACUUCAGCGCUGGCAGAUUUGGUGCACAAACACAGCGCCCCGUGCCGCUGCCAAACCUGGGGAGGUUUGCACUGCGCCGCCUAAUUGAGGGUCUGGCCUCAGAGGAACGGCCAUGAGGCCGAGGGUAUAAUAACACUCUUGGCUUAAAUUAAAAUAAAUAUUGGGAAAUC